rnacentral:lncRNA from 10 species
UUUUUUUUCCUGAGAUGGAGCCUCGCUCUGUCACCCAGGCUGGAGUGCAGUGGUGCGAUUUUGGCUCACUGCAACUUCGGCCUCCGAGGUUCAGGUGAUUCUCUUUCCUCGGCCUCCCCAGGGGCUGGGACUGCAGGCGCGCGCCACCACACCUGGCUAAUUUUUAUGUUUUUGGUAGAGACAGGGUUUCACCACAUUGGCCAGGCUGGUCUCAAACUCCUGACCUCAAGUGAUCUGCCAGCCUUGGCCUCCCAAAGUGCUGGGAUUACAGGCGUGAGCCACCAUGCCUGGCCUGUUGGGGCACAUCUUGAAGGAGGUGGGCAUUAGAGCUGGGGUGUUGGGGGAUGUCUAGGAGUUUGCCAGAUGGGGCCGGUAUGGGAGAGUGGAUCAGGAGAGAACAUGGCUUGAGGUUAGGUCCUGGUGGGUGGGGUCAGGCAGAGGAGCCAAGGGGAGGCUGAAGCUGAGGGCUGCAGACCCGAAGGCCAGGCUGAGGAACUCUGCUGGCCUCUGAGAUGUGAUUAAUCCCAGAUCAGCCUGGCUGGGUGGUCCUGAACUCACUGCCACAUACCCCUGCUCCCUCCAGACCCCCCUCUGGCUUCUGGGAGAAGGACAGUCUUCAAAAAGUGCCUGGCCUGGGCAUGAGACGGCCCAGGACCCCCCACCCCCAACCUCAUCUGGCCCUGGGGACGGAACUCAGGCCCCCUUCCGUUCUCGCUCGCAUAAAAGCCACCCUGGCCGAGCAUUUCCAGAUGUGCCUGUGAGCCGCUGUGCCGGGGCCGCCCAGGUGCGGCCCACAUGCCCUGCAAGGGCUGCGUGGCGGGCGCUGGCCAUCCCCUAAGGAGUGCCGCACUGCCUUGGAAGUGGGGCUCCCUCGUCAGCCCCACUUUACACACAGAGAAACUGAGGCUGGCACAUAAACUCAACAGCUGUGUUCAGAGGCCCUACCAGACCCCCAGAUAACAGAAAGGGGGUUGGUCAUCUGGGUCCUGGCUGCAGCUUUCAAACUGAGGUGCUUGGGCCCCUGCACUCAUAGCUGCGACCCGGCCUCAGUUUCCCCAUCUGUAAAAUGAUGACUUGGGAAGAUGCGAUAAGCCUAGGAGGCGAUGAGCAUUCACAUUGAAAGCGGGGGCGGGGACCCCAGAGAGAGCUUCCCUAGCAGGACCUCAAUAUCCCUGUCUGAGCAGCGGGGCUGCGGGGCAGCUCCUGGUUCAGAGGCCUAGGGCUGUGGGGGGCCCCCUCCCCUGGAAUCGCUCCCCAGGCCAGGAGGGCCGUCCAGCGCCCCGCCCUCCCCGACGCCUCCUGGGGGAAGGUCCUGGCAGCCCCAGACUCGCGCCUGGCAAGGGCGGAACACCCCAGGCUGACGCAGCUGGGGCCCCUCCGGCCUUCCCAGAAGAGCGCGUGCAUCGGGAGCAGACGUCAGCCAGCUGCAAGGAGGAGCGGCCCGGGGCUGCGUAGCUCCGCUGGACCCCGAUUCCGG